rnacentral:rRNA from 1 species
CCCUUAGAGUUUGAUCCUGGCUCAGGAUGAACGCUGGCGGCGUGCCUAAUACAUGCAAGUCGAACGAAUCUCUUUUAGAGAUGAGUGGCGAACGGGUGAGUAAUACAUAGGUAACCUGCCCCUGUGCGGGGGAUAACAGGAGGAAACUCCUGCUAAUACCGCAUAGCCAUGAGCACCGCAUGGAGCUCAUGCCAAAUAUCCUUUAUGGGAUAGCGCAGGGAUGGACCUAUGGCGCAUUAGCUGGUUGGCGGGGCAACGGCCCACCAAGGCAACGAUGCGUAGCCGGCCUGAGAGGGCGGACGGCCACAUUGGGACUGAGACACGGCCCAGACUCCUACGGGAGGCAGCAGUAGGGAAUUUUCGGCAAUGGGGGAAACCCUGACCGAGCAACGCCGCGUGAGCGAAGAAGGCCUUCGGGUCGUAAAGCUCUGUUGUAAAGGAAGAACGGCGCAUACAGGAAAUGGUAUGCGAGUGACGGUACUUUACCAGAAAGCCACGGCUAACUACGUGCCAGCAGCCGCGGUAAUACGUAGGUGGCGAGCGUUAUCCGGAAUCAUUGGGCGUAAAGAGGGAGCAGGCGGCCGCAAGGGUCUGUGGUGAAAGACCGAAGCUAAACUUCGGUAAGCCAUGGAAACCGGGCGGCUAGAGUGCGGAAGAGGAUCGUGGAAUUCCAUGUGUAGCGGUGAAAUGCGUAGAUAUAUGGAGGAACACCAGUGGCGAAGGCGACGGUCUGGGCCGCAACUGACGCUCAUUCCCGAAAGCGUGGGGAGCAAAUAGGAUUAGAUACCCUAGUAGUCCACGCCGUAAACGAUGGUCACUAAGUGUCGGGGGUCAAACCCCGGUGCUGCAGUCAACGCAAUAAGUGACCCGCCUGAGUAGUACGUUCGCAAGA